UACAUAGGGUGCAAGCGUUAAUCGGAAUUACUGGGCGUAAAGCGUGCGCAGGCGGUUUUGUAAGUCUGUCGUGAAAUCCCCGGGCUCAACCUGGGAAUGGCGAUGGAGACUGCAAGGCUGGAAUCUGGCAGAGGGGGGUAGAAUUCCACGUGUAGCAGUGAAAUGCGUAGAGAUGCGGAGGAACACCGAUGGCGAAGGCAGCCCCCUGGGCUAACACUGACGCUCAGGCACGAAAGCGUGGGGAGCAAACAGG
rnacentral:rRNA from 1 species